rnacentral:rRNA from 1 species
UACGGAGGGUGCUAGCGUUGUUCGGAAUCACUGGGCGUAAAGGGCGUGUAGGCGGUCUGUUAAGUCUGAUGUGAAAUCCCCUCGCUCAACGAGGGAACUGCGUCGGAUACUGGCAGACUCGAGUACCGGAGAGGAAGGUGGAAUUCCCGGUCUAGCGGUGAAAUGCGUAGAUAUCGGGAGGAACACCGGUGGCGAAGGCGGCCUUCUGGACGGAUACUGACGCUGAGACGCGAAAGCGUGGGGAGCAAACAGG